rnacentral:rRNA from 1 species
CCCUUAGAUGCUCUGGGCCGCACGCGCGCUACACUGGUCGAUGCAACGAGUUUCUUUCCUUGGCCGACAGGCCUGGGCAAUCUUUGAACAUCGAUCGUGAUCGGGAUAGAUUCUUGUAAUUUUUGAUCUUAAACGAGGAAUUCCUAGUAAACGCAAGUCAUCAGCUUGCAUUGAUUACGUCCCUGCCCUUUGUACACACCGCCCGUCACACCUACCGAUUGAAUGGUCCGGUGAAAUCUCCGGACUGGCGUGAGUCGGAGCAAUCUGACAAACACCGGAAAGUUGAUUAAACCUUNCNAUUUAGNGGAAGGUGAANUCGUANCA